GGAAUUACUGUGCGUAUGGGGGCGUAUGCGCGUAUAAGAAGUCAUCUGUGUAAACCUAUUGCUCCCGAUAGGCUAGCGGAUGAAACUGAAUUACUUGAGGGCACCAGAGGUAGACGGAAUUACCCGAGUAGGGGUGAAAUCCGCAAAUACGGGUAGGAACGCCGGUGGAAAAGUCCGUCUACUGGGGUGCACCAGACGCUGAAGCCCGAAAGCUAGGGGAACAAACCGGAUUAAAUACCCGGGUAGUCCUAACCGUAAACGAUGCUCACUAAGUGUAGGGAGUGAUAAACUCUCUGUGCUGAAGCGAACGCGCUAAGUGAGCCGCCUGGGGAGUACGUCCGCAAGGAUGAAACUCAAAUGAAUUGACGG
rnacentral:rRNA from 1 species